AUUCCCAAAUCUGCCACGUGAGGCCCCCUUGCCCGUGGUUACAUCUUAGGAGAUGCCUUUGGAUACGGGGAAAAAAUGAUUCAUAAUUGAACCAAAGAGAUUCUCUUAAUGAACCUGCCCCAGGGAGUAUCAAGCUCUUUUUAUGAGCAAAUUUAAUGAAUCAUAAUGAAUUUCAUCAUAUGAAGCUAUGUGGAUACACCAUAAAGGAGCCAGGAAGUAAACCAGUCUAGACUCAACGGAAGAAGCCUAGGGAACUGUUUGUUCAGAAUAAUACACGGGCACAGAGUGGUAAGAGCUGGCGAAACGUGUGGACCCCGGAAGGAAAGUCCCGAGAAACGAUGAAGGGAACUCGGAGGAACAUUUGAAGAAGUGGAUGAACAAGACCAAUUUUCCUGAAAAAGACAAAGGAGGAAACCCAUUAGAGAGUCCACGCCUCCUUGGGUGAUGGGAUCAAAGAUGGAAAGGUGCAGUGGCCACAGCAAAAGGACCACAGAGCCACGAGGAAAAGCAGGACACGUCUGGAAGAGGCGUCAGCACGGUGGGGCUGCGGGUGUCUGUUGACAAGAAGGCGAAGUCAGCGUCGUUGAUGAGAAAGGCAAUUCCCCCAAACCCCAAACGCAACAUGCAGCUGCAGAAGUGAACACAAAGAGUGUUUUGCUGGUCUUAUUAUUCUGGAAUAUAAGGGACUCAACAGGAACCCAAGGCAGACUACGUGUGCUUCUUCCUACCGAGAACGCAGGAAAAUUUGUCUCCAAGGUUUGUAUUCAUACGUCUUACACGGGAUAGAGGUCUGGAGGGGAAGAACAAGGGAACUUCAGAACUUUUAAGCUUGGAAAGAGAUGCUCCUUUUUUUGGUUUGUUUUGAUUUCUGUGGGGUAAAAAACACACAACAUAAAUUCACUGUCUUAACGCCCCUUAAGUGGACCCUCCGGUAGGGUUGCCUAAAGGUACGUCAUGGUACGAGACAUCUGUAGAAAUUUUUCCUCUUGUAAAACUGAAGCUCUGAACCCAUUAAACGACACCCUCCCUCUUCCUUCUCUGCCAUCCCCUGGUGUCCAGUAUGUUACUUUCUGUUACUACAAAUUUCUAGACAUUAGCAAUUAUAGAAUUAAAAAUUCAUUCUAAACUCUGGAUUUUCCUCAGCUAUCAAAGUUGCUUCAUUUUUUCUUUAUACUUAAAUUCAAUACCUUAGACACCCUCAUACCAAAAAAAAAUCCUGCUUAAUUGGUUUACCCCACUUUUGAAAUACAGAGAUAACAGUUGACUUUCACUUUAUCACUAAAAAUUAAGUUUAAGGUUAAGUACAUUAAUUAUUUGAGUCUUUGUUUCCUAAUCUAUAAAACAGAGUCCACAGAAACCAUCCCACAGACUUACUAUAAGGAUUAAAAUUCACCAAAAUCUACAUACAUCAUACUUAAAUUUAUAUAUUCUAUAACAUAUAUAUUCAACAAUAUUUAAAUC